rnacentral:rRNA from 1 species
GAUGAACGCUGGCGGCGUGCCUAAUACAUGCAAGUCGAGCGAACAGACGAGGCGCUUGCUCCUCUGACGUUAGCGGCGGACGGGUGAGUAACACGUGGAUAACCUACCUAUAAGACUGGGAUAACUUCGGGAAACCGGAGCUAAUACCGGAUAAUAUAUUGAACCGCAUGGUUCAUUAGUGAAAGACGGUUUUGCUGUCACUUAUAGAUGGAUCCGCGCCGCAUUAGCUAGUUGGUAAGGUAACGGCUUACCAAGGCAACGAUGCGUAGCCGACCUGAGAGGGUGAUAGGCCACACUGGAACUGAGACACGGUCCAGACUCCUACGGGAGGCAGCAGUAGGGAAUCUUCCGCAAUGGGCGAAAGCUUGACGGAGCAACGCCGCGUGAGUGAUGAAGGUCUUCGGAUCGUAAAACUCUGUUAUUAGGGAAGAACAAAUGUGUAAGUAACUAUGCACGUCUUGACGGUACCUAAUCAGAAAGCAACGGCUAACUACGUG